rnacentral:rRNA from 1 species
GAUGAACGCUGACAGAAUGCUUAACACAUGCAAGUCAACUUGAAUUUGGGUUUUUAACUUCGGUUUGGGUGGCGGACGGGUGAGUAACGCGUAAAGAACUUGCCUCACAGCUAGGGACAACAUUUGGAAACGAAUGCUAAUACCUAAUAUUAUGAUAAUAGGGCAUCCUAUAAUUAUGAAAGCUAUAAGCGCUGUGAGAGAGCUUUGCGUCCCAUUAGCUAGUUGGAGAGGUAACGGCUCACCAAGGCGAUGAUGGGUAGCCGGCCUGAGAGGGUGAUCGGCCACAAGGGGACUGAGACACGGACCUUACUCCUACGGGAGGCAGCAGUGGGGAAUAUUGGACAAUGGACCAAGAGUCUGAUCCAGCAAUUCUGUGUGCAAGAUGAAGUUUUUCGGAAUGUAAAGUGCUUUCAGUUGGGAAGAAAGAAAUGACUGUACCAACAGAAGAAGUGACGGCUAAAUACGUG